rnacentral:sRNA from 1 species
UCCAAAACCAUUUGCGGAAGCCAAUUUCACCUGUGGCAAUCUGAUAAGCAUAGACUGCGUCUUGUCCCCUAUGUUUGACUUAUAGCCGACCCGGUAUAGUGGCUGAAGCGAGCGGUGUUCCAAGGAUGGCUUUGCUACUUUCGCUGGGUUCCAUGCCACUUCAACCCGCCACAGAGCGCUGCCCGAACCCGCCAACGCCAUAAUAGUAAUAAUAGCAUACGUUUCCUCGUUGUAGAUCAGUGUUAUGCCACGUGAAGGGAGCAAGAACCACGCGUGAGGUUGAAUAUCUCUGAAAAAAGUAUGCAUGUUGCUAAAAAAAAAAGGAACCCCCGAAGUUUAAUAUUGUAUAUUGUAUGGUAGAAGGGGUAACUAACUAAUUCGAAAAAAAAAAAAAACGAGAGAUACGAUACUAAACAAUCCAAGUUGAGAAAAAGGAAACGAAAUAUCAAAUAUCAAAUAUCAGAUAUGGAAAUGAUGAUGGAGAUGGAGAUGGAGAUCCAAGGAUGAGAAGAAUUUUAUCUGGGGCAGAACUUGUAGAGGCAGAACUCUCAACCAACGACGGCAUGGUCCGGGACCCCUUUUCUUCCGCGUCCAGUAAAUCUAUAUCGACGACGAUUCAUCCAUGAGCUCCCUUCAGAAACGGAAUAGAAAUAAAUAACAUACAAAAUCCCGCAAUAACAUCCAGGGAAAAGAUGAACGAACAAAAUGCCCAGGGCCAGGCCCACGCCUAAACGAAUAAUAGCGACGAAAGGAUAUAAAGAGAAGAAUCCAAAAAAGGAAAAAAAAAAAUGAAAAUAAAAGAAUAAAAGAAUAUAAAAGGACAACAUCCUUCUAUCGAAUCACCCA